rnacentral:misc_RNA from 1 species
GUAGGUGAACCUGCGGAAGGAUCAUUACCGAGUGUUGGGACUGUCAAGCCCCUGACUCCACCCUUUGCUUAUACUUUAUAGUUGCUUUGGCGGACCGGUCGGUACCUCCGACCGCCGGCUACGGCUGGAUAGCGUCCGUCGGAGGUCUUAAAACUCUUGUCAACUGUGGAAUUCUGAGUUAUCAAAGAAUGAAAUCAAAACGUUCAACAACGGAUCUCUUGGCUCUCGCAUCGAUGAAGAACGCAGCAUC